ACCUCUCUCCUUGCUUUCCUGGAGGCCUGGCCUCUUCUUGCUCCUGGAAACCUGGCACUGAGCAGAUCUGACCCCUGGCCCUAGGAAGCCCUCCCUCCCAGGGCUCCAGGUCGUGAGAACCAGCCCAGGUGUGUCCCCUGGGGCCCUGUCCCCCGGGCCCAGCUGUCCCCAUGAUCCUGGAGCUGUACCUGAGGCUCAGGGCCGCAGCUGAGGGUAGGAGGGAAAGGAGGAGCUACGCUUCCCCACACCUACGCAGCACACACCAGCUUGUCGGAACGGGGAGCUUGCUGAACACUCACGACAAAGGAAAUCUACUCAGAGAGAGAAGGUGCCUCCUGGGUCAUGCCAGAGCGUUCCAUGCACCAGGCCACAGCAGCUGUCCUGAACAGCUCUUGAAGCAUCAGACCCGGGCUCUGAUUCAGCAGCGGAGGCCCCAGAGACAAGUUCCCUGCCUUCCAACCUCAAGACGGAAGGGGUGGUGGUGGUGACAUACUUUUUAAAAAGCACAAAUAAUAAAAGAGCCACCCUAUGUA